AACGAACGCUGGCGGCAUGGCUAAGACAUGCAAGUCGAACGGACUGUGUAGCAAUAUGCAGUUAGUGGCGAAAGGGAGAGUAAUGAAUAGGUAAUGUACCUUGGACACCGGGAUAGCGCCGGGGGCAACCCCUUUGCGAAAGUGGCGAUAAUACCGGAUGAAGUCGUUGGGGGGCAUCUUCCGACGACCAAAGGGCGGCCGCAAGGCUGCCGGUCUUUGAGCAGCCUAUCNCCUAUCACCUAGUUGGCGAGGUACGCG
rnacentral:rRNA from 1 species